ensembl:lncRNA
UUUUCAUGAUCAUAAUACGCUGAGCAUCACACAGAAUCAGGCCAUCCCAGCACCAGCACACAUCUCAACAUGGUGCUCAAACGCCCACAGGUGUGUGGUCAUCCCAGGGCAGCCUCAGCCCUUCCCCGACUCGGCCAGAGAAAGCUCUGCCCACCUGCUCCCGGGCCACAGGAAGUGACAUCACAGUCACUGCUGGAGCCGCGGAACACGCUGGGCGCAUGCAGACGCUGCUCUUUGUCACAGAUACAGCCAACCAUCCCAGGGGGGGACAUCUCUACCUCUGCCGUCCCAGCACCCUCUUCAACCUCCUCCACGCGAGACCCCGAGUUCCACCCCCACAAACAGGCCUCAUUAGACCCCAUCUUGUGAACAGGACACGCACAUACGUGUUGAACGGACGAAUUCCACAUCAGUUAGCUGCCUGUUCGCUGAACGUCUUUCCUGGACUCCAGGAUUGAAGGAAUUAGGACAAUGAAGAGCCACAAAGCAGGAGGAAACCAUCAUGCAGGCUCCACUCAAAGAGAACAAGGCUCAAAGAGAACACCAACUUCCUUGCAUAGGCUUCCUCUAGAAACAAAACUAUUGUGGGACAAUGAGGGAAGUGCUCCCCAUGCGGAGAACCUUUCUAUAGGUCUCCCUGGAGAUGUUCUGGGGCCUGGUACCCAGCGAGGCCGCCUGCAGCCACGUGGCCACUGGCCCUCUCCAUCUUUCACAAGGCAGGAGGGAUGGGAAGUGCUGGCAGGUGUUGGCAUCCUGCAGAUGCUGGUUAUCUUCCAGACCAGCUUCUCAGGUAUUCUCUCUUUCCAUCCUGACAAUGACCCUGUGAAGUGGGAACGGUUACGCUGGUUUACAAAUGAGGACACGAAACCUCGCAAAGCUCCUUUUUCUUCCCUGAGGUCACCUGGCUAGUGAGGGUCGCAGAUGGGGAUUCAACCCAAAGACCAGGUCACAGAAAAGUGCAUCCUUCUUCCUUCUGGACCGACUUGCACGAAAGUUACUUCACCCAGUUGUUGACCUGGCCGAGGAGGGACAGGCGCUGUCAGACCCCAGGAGGAAUGUUAGGUGCCCUCUGGUGCCCAUAUCCCUGUGAAGACCCGGCCAGUUUCCAGGCUGGGGAGUGGACAGGGGGACACAGUGCUCUGUGGGUCAAGGGCACCGUGUGGAGAGAGGAACACGAGAGGGGGAUUGGGGCAACCGUGUUCCUCCCACAAAUGGGCAACUGAGUCACAUCAUAGGAACUCUGUUCCCUGCCAAACAGGUCUCUCUCUCUCUCUCUCUUUUUUCUGUUUCUGUGUAUUUUAAAUGCAUUUAAAUGAAGCGAUUAUUUAACGAUUUUUGUGGGUUUCCUGGUAUUUGUUUUGGGAUUUGUUUUUGUUUUGUUUUGUUUUUUAUUUUGUUUUUUGGUUGACAGUGUUGAAUCAUCGAAAUAUCGUAAAGCAUUUUUCUGGCUCACUAAUUGAUACAGUCCUGCCUAAUUGCCUGCUGCUUCGUUUCUUCUCUGUGAAAAUGACACAGGUUUUCUGGGUUUUUGCUUCCAAAAAACAAACGGUGCUGCUUCACUACCCCGCCCCCAAUCUGUGCCUCCCUUGGGAUGGCGGCACACACCACAGAUUCCGCAGAUCACUGGUCCUGGCAGGGGUGGGAGGAGCUGGGCAGGAUGGGGAAGGGAGGAGCCACAGGGGUGCCAAGAGAGACCCCACAUUCCCGAGGCCCCCUCCCUAGCACCCCUGCCUGCAAACACCUGACAAUCUACCAACAGCCUCAGCAGGUGUAUGCCCUGAGUUACCAAGGAUUUCUGAAGCUGGUGGAAGCUCGGAGGCCCUGUCUGUGGCCAUGGAGACCCCAUAGAGCCCCUGCCUGUAGCCCUAUUUCUCCAGCAAGAGACUGCAGCCUUAACCAGCUGGCCUCGCCCAUCCACAGAACUGUGCUCCACGGGCACCUGCAGCAGCCGCACACAGGGAGCGGGGAGCAGGCUGGUCUCAGCCUCUGUCUGCCUGGAGGGACCCCGAGCCCAUCCAGUCUGGCCCUGCCGCUUCCAGGGUUACCCAGGUCCCAGGAUGGGAAAUCAAAGCCCAGCCGUGCUUGACAACAUUAGGACCUCAAAGCAGAGAAAAACAAACAGAACCUCUCCAAAACCAGAGGCUGGUCCAGAGCCAACAUUAUGAUCCUGGUCUCCUGUAUUACAAAAGGGAAAUACUAAGGCCCUAAUGAGAGGAAAGUGGAGUCCGAGGUCCCAGUGUGAGUCAACAGCAGAGCAGAGACCAGACCCAGGAACCACACUGCUAGGCCGGUGCUAUGAAAAAUCCAGACUCAGGCAAAAGAAAGCUCAACAUCCUGAUGUCCCUCUGUAGACGGGAGACGCCUGUGGAAAGGGAGAGGGUCAGCUGACACACCCUCAACAUCCUGAUGUCGCUCUAUAGACAGGAGACGCCUGUGGAAAUGGAGAGGGUCAGCUGGUAGACCUGGUUUGUCAAGAGUACUUGUGAAAAGGGUCGGGGUCUUGGUUGACUGGAAGGGUCUGAGUCCACCCUGUGAUUUACCUGCUACAAAGUCACUCAACAAAUGUGGCAGCCAAGGGUUCACCCACUAGCUAAUGUGACACAUGUAUGUCACACGUGUGUGUCACACACACACACACACACUUGUACAUUUAGCUUAAUACACUUUUUUUUUAAAGACUUUAUUUUUUCCUUUUUCUCCCCAACACCCCCCAGUACAUAGUUGUAUAUUCUUCGUUGUGGGUCCUUCUAGUUGUGGCAUGUGGGAUGCUGCCCCAGCGUGGUUUGAUGAGCAGUGCCAUGUCCGCGCCCAGGAUUCCAACCAACGAAACACUGGGCCGCCUGCAGCGGAGCGCACGAAUUUAACCACUCGGCCACGGGGCCAGCCCCAGGCUUAAUAAAUUUUGAUGCCAGAGUAAGGGAGAUGUCCGUCCUUCCUGACCAGACCCCAUGCAGUGAGUUGUAUUCACUUUAAGAGGAAAGCUGACAAACUAGAGCAUUCUCCAAGAAAAGCACCCAAGAAGUCAAGCUAACUCAAAAUAACAAUGUGAGGAGCUGUGUUUCAAAGCCCAGGAGAAGCUUAGUUUACAGAAGAGAAGACUCAACGCAUACUGCAUCUGACCCCAAAUUGCUGAAAAAUAAUGUGAAAAGGAGAAUAGAAUCAUUAUGGGUCAUUUUAGGGAGCAAAGCUGGGUCUGAACCCAGACACCAGCAAGUCCACCCGUCAUCCUCCAUCCCCUGAGACCCACUCUGAGAAGGCACCCUCCUUCCAUCACUCUAGUCCCAGAGUUUUCCAAAACUCAGAUCUGACCAGACAGCACCCCUUCGGUGGGUCUGAGAAACUGUCACAGCCAAGGGGAGCCUAAGGCUACACGACAACUAAAUGUAAUAUGGCAUCUCCGAUGGGACCCUGCAACAGAAAAACAACGUUAGGUAAAAACUCAGGGAGCCUGAAUAAAGUAUGGACUUUAGUUAAUAACAGUGUAUCAACAUGGGUGCAUUCAUUGUGACAUACAUACCGUACUGGUGUAAGAUGUUAAUAAUAGGGGAAACUGGGUGUGGGGUACACAGGAAUUCUCUGUUCUAUCUUGGCAAUUUUUCUGUAAAUCUAAAAACUAUUUUAAAAUAAAAAGUUAUUACAUUAAAAAGAAUCUAAUGGGGGCCCGGCCUGGUGGCACAGCAGUUAAGUUCGCACGUUCUGCUUCAGCGGCCCAGGGUUCACCAGUUCAGAUCCCAGGUGCAGACAUGGCACCGUUUGGCACGCCAUGCUGUGGUGGGUGUCCCACAUAUAAAGUAGAGGAAGAUGGGCACAGAUGUUAGCUCAGGGCCAGUCUUCCUCAGCAAAAAGAGGGGGAUUGGCAGCAGAUGUUAGCUCAGGGCUAAUCUUCCUCAGAAAAAAAAGAGAAUUAAUUAAAAACGAAAAAGAAUCUAAUGGAAGAAAAAAAGUCUUUGGGGGUUGCCUAACACUUCUAAAUCCAAGCCCCUUAUCUUGAAACCGCAGCCCUUGGUGAUCAGGCCUUCCUGGGGAGACAGAACCCAGUGACCAGGGCAGCAAGAAUGGAGACACAUGGGAAUCCCACUUCCUUUCACUUACCCGGGCGACAGAACAGAAUUUCUGGUGGAACCCUAUUCUGAGAAAUGGCUCAGGCUUGGGAACGGCCAUGGUUUUGAUGGGCAAAAUAUUCUCCAAGCCUUCCCAAAAGGAGCCUUGGCAUGCCUUGGGGACAUGUAGUCACAGAUGGAGGGAGCCUUGCUGCUCUGCUCCCUAAGCUUGAGACCUAGGGAGGCACAGCAGCCCAGGCAGGAGCCCCAACAUUGGCCUAAUAGGGGGCCCCCCGCCAACAAGAGCAUCGAGAUAUGGUUACUCGUGGUUGAGUCAGAUGUUAAUGGCCCACCUGGAUCAGACGCUGUUCCCCACCGCUGUAGCCACAGAUCAUUCUCAGAUGUCACCCUCAAUCCGUGGACUUGACCAAGCACAGGACAACGGCCCCAUGGGUCCUUGCCCGAGCUUUCUCCUCUCAGGUCAAGUUCCCAGACUUCAGUCCAAACUGACUCAAAGAUUGCCACAAUUUUAUAAGGGAGGGCUAGAAUGGAAUAGACGACUUCUGAGAACAUUUCCAGCUUUAAAAACUUCUCUGAAUUUCUCCAAAAGUCUGCACAGCUGGACUCG